GUGAGGAAUUUUCGGCAAUGGGCGAAAGCCUGACCGAGCAACGCCGCGUGAGUGAUGAAGGCCUUCGGGUCGUAAAGCUCUGUGGUAAAGGAAGAACACCAUGAUUAGGAAAUGAUUCAUGGCUGACGGUACUUUACUAGAAAGUCACGGCUUACUACGUGCCAGCAGCCGCGGUAAUACGUAGGUGGCAAGCGUUAUCCGGAUUUAUUGGGCGUAAAGGGUGCGCAGGCGGUCUGUUUAGUCUGGGGUGAAAGCGUUGAGCUCAACUCAAUUAAGCCUUAGAUACUGGCAGACUAGAGUGCAGAAGAGGGUUAUGGAAUUCCAUGUGUAGCGGUAAAAUGCGUAGAUAUAUGGAGGAACACCGGCGGCGAAGGCGGUAACCUGGUCUGUUACUGACGCUCAGGCACGAAAGCGUGGGGAGCAAAUAGG
rnacentral:rRNA from 1 species